rnacentral:rRNA from 1 species
GAUGAACGCUGGCGGCGUGCCUAAUACAUGCAAGUCGAGCGAACAGACGAGGAGCUUGCUCCUCUGACGUUAGCGGCGGACGGGUGAGUAACACGUGGAUAACCUACCUAUAAGACUGGGAUAACUUCGGGAAACCGGAGCUAAUACCGGAUAACAUGUUGAACCGCAUGGUUCAACAGUGAAAGACGGUCUUGCUGUCACUUAUAGAUGGAUCCGCGCCGCAUUAGCUAGUUGGUAAGGUAACGGCUUACCAAGGCAACGAUGCGUAGCCGACCUGAGAGGGUGAACGGCCACACUGGAACUGAGACACGGUCCAGACUCCUACGGGAGGCAGCAGUAGGGAAUCUUCCGCAAUGGGCGAAAGCCUGACGGAGCAACGCCGCGUGAGUGAAGAAGGUCUUCGGAUCGUAAAACGCUGUUAUUAGGGAAGAACAAAUGUGUAAGUAACUAUGCACGUCUUGACGGUACCUAAUCAGAAAGCCACGGCUAACUACGUG